UCUACCUUUCAAAUCGUCAGUGGUGCUUCUAAUGCAUUUAUAUAAUUUAAGCUUUAGACCUCAAAUCAGUCAGGACUACCCGCUGAACUUAAGCAUAUCAAUAAG
rnacentral:rRNA from 1 species